AGAGUCUAACUUUUGUGAGUCAAGGUACAGAUCUGCUAUGGCCCAGGUCCUGUAAACAAACUAGUUAUUUCCAUAAAAAUCUUGGCAAUGGAGUAACAGGUAUUUCCCCAUUCAGAGUCUAAUUCUGCAAGACAGUUUCCAAAACCUGCAAUGAAGAUUACUGUCCAAGACGGGAUACUUGUCCAGAGGAUGUUCAGCUGCUUAACAAGUAUGAACAAAAGCCCUCCCAAUUUUGGAUAACUCUGUGAAACACAACUAAUUCCUCAUAAGGCCCAGAGGCAAAAUCUAUAGCUAAUGAAAUAUACUUGGUGUGAAAACACUGACUUCCUAAAUCUAAGAAAGGUGAAGAGUAGAACUGACCCUCAAAUUUAUCUUUUUGUUUUCACAACAUGAGUACAGGCCUGUUUGGAAAUUAUUUGAGAUAUCAUAAAACAUACAUCAUGAUUCAUAAGAAUUACUCUGAAAGAUAUAACUUCAUUUGAAAAGCAGCACUGAUGAACACUUGAUUUUUUAUUAUUAUUUUUUUUCAGUAAUUAAGGCUCCAACCUACUUCAGCCUGCUUGUACUUUGUGCAAGGAUUAAUUUUGCCAUUUCAAAAGAACACAAAUGAAAGAUGCAGAUGUAAGUGUAUUUGCAAAAAGUUCAAAGGUGUCUAGAAUACACUUCGUUUUUGUUUGCUUGCUUGCUUGUUUUCUUUCUUUCUGUUUGUCUCUCAGUUAUGCUAAUAUCCAUUUGAUCAAUGCUGGUUGCAAAACGAAGUUUUAACAGAUAUGUGUGAAUAGUUCUAACAGAACAAUUCUGAGAGGAGAUCCUCCUCAUACAACAGAAAACUACAAUAAGAGCUCUCAUCCUAUUAUAAAGCUUCCAAAACUGCUGGAAUAAGAGCUGUGUUCCGUUAUUCCCAGUGCACACCCGGGAACUUACUGCUCUCUUAUGUGGCUCUCACCAUCCCCUUCUGCUACAGGCUAGCCCUGUAGACCAGCUUUUUUGUCUCUCCUACCUUUGUCUAAAAUUAAACUGAUUUGCAGGUUUAAGGCCAAACAUUUAGAAGCUUUGGCAAGUGAAAGGAGAGAAAAUGCCCAUGUGAGAUCACUUCAGUUCAAACCCUCACAUUGACAGAGAUGCUUUGCUUCAUUUGACUCAAACUGGCCAUAUCAUUGAUCAUUUUUAUUCUGGCAUAUCAACUGUGGCAUCUCAGAAGGAUUUGCUUAGGUUUGAUGAUGUUACCACAGGUCAUAAUCUGGUUUAUAAAAAAAAAAAAAAUGGAAUAGAAUUAAAAGUAUUGAGUAGCUAGUCUGUUUCCCACACAUAGCUAUGGAGAUAAGUUAUUCUCUAAAAUUCAGCUUUGAAUCUGAAAGCAAAGUUAGUCAUAAAGAAAAUAACUGAUUAACUGAUGAGAAAUGCAUCAUUGCUGUCCGUGUCACUGGCAUUGGCCAUAUUUCCUCAGUGCAGUGCAUUAUGAAAAACAGAGCUAGAAUCAUAGCUAAAACUGAGUUAUAUAGAGAGAUAAAACUAAAGCUCUCUGUAAUGAGGAAAAA